GUCACCUUCUCACAAUGAGGCUCCCUGCUCAGCUCCUGGGGCUGCUAAUGCUCUGGGUCCCUGGAUAUAGUGGGGAUAUUGUGAUGACCCAGACUCCACUCUCCCUGCCUGUCAUCCCUGGAGAGCCGGCCUCCAUCUCCUGCAGGUCUAGUCAGAGCCUCUUGGAUAGUGACGGGUACACCUGUUUGGACUGGUACCUGCAGAAGCCGGGCCAGUCUCCACAGCUCUUGAUCUAUGAGGUUUCCAACCGGGCCUCUGGAGUCCCUGACAGGUUCAGUGGCAGUGGGUCAGGCACUGAUUUCACACUGAAAAUCAGCCGGGUGGAAGCUGAGGAUGUUGGGGUAUAUUACUGUAUGCAAAGUAUAGAGUUUCCUCCCACAGUGCUACAUCCUCGAACAGGAACCUCCCUGCUGGGUUGGCCCAGCUGCCCACAUGCACUGCUUGUCUGGGGAGCAGCUCGGCAGGGCCUCUGAGACUGCAGAAAAGGAGGCUGUUGGAGAAUACAGGACAGAGUUUGCUGCUGAGGACUCUAGCCCAUGAGAGCCUCAGCUGUGUUUUAGUCCCACGUGUAAGGUCCCAUCAGCUGCCACAGGUGGCCACCUGCUCUGGGAGCAAGCAGCUCUGAUGAAGGGAGAGUGAAUGAAAGCUCAUCCUCACCCUCCCUGUCUGGCCCACAUUUGUCCAGUCCAUUUAUUUGGCAGAACAAUUAGAUCACGGAUGCAGGUUAGUGGUAACACAAGUGAAAUACAUGUUACAAACGACUGGUUUGGAGAUAGUUUUAUGCAUGAUAACAGUGGGUCAUACUGGGAAAUUGCUAUCUUCCCACUUUCCAAAUGUUCUCUCUCCUUUACCACUCACACAACCCUGGCCUCUCUAGUAUUAUGGUGGAGAAAGCAUUCUGCACCAGCUGUCCUCAUGGGAGUAUGGCUAAGAAUAGUUAGUUACAAUGUUUG